CACAGGUUUCUUUUAAUGUUAUGGCUGUUUGGGUUCCUGGCAUGAUGAUUUGUGACUUAAGAUUAAAAUCACAUUGCCAGGGAUUACCACGCAGCCAUGACCACAGCUGCUAGCAUGAAA
rnacentral:pre_miRNA from 12 species